GGCUGGGCGGUCAGCGGGGUCAAGGGACAGCCACGCUGGGACGGAGGACGGGGACAGGGGAGCCCCUGCGGCGCCACUUCUUCCUCUCCGAGUCCUGUCUGCCCUUGAUGGAGCCACUGGUGGGGUUACUUGCUGGCGGUCGGCCACUUUCGCCCCUCCCUCGCCAGCCCGCCAGCUCCCUAAGGUUUUGUGGUUUUUUGUCACCACCACACCUCAGUGUUGAGCUAAGUGAGGACGUCCCCCCAGCAAAUGUAUUGGACGGAAGGAAACGCUGUGCGGGAGGAGGCGGAGGAAAGUAGGCCACCCGGGGCUCAAGUGGUUUGUUGAUCUGCCUGAAUGUCUCUGCAUGUGGCCCCACAUCUCUCCUCAUGCCUGCUGGUCUCAGAGUAUAAUGGAUGCUGAGUCCAAAGCAGGUGUUUCCUGGGCAUUCGUGGCAGGGGAAUUGGACUUCCAAAUCUGCCCCCUCUCCACGUGGGUGAGCUUCUCCCAGACUCUCCAUCAUAAGAGGCUGUGAGCACCCGAAACUGAUCACCUUCUCAGCCUAGAAUGGGAGUGAGCUGUGGUCCUCUCCCUCUCUUCCUCUCACUGUGACCCCAAUCACAGCACCUGCCCUUCUCUAAUUGGCUGAUGUCAAUGGAAGGGGGAAGGGAAGGCUGAUGUCCAAGGAGGAAAUCCCAUUAGGUGAGCCAGAGCCAAGUUAUUAGUGGUUAAGAUGUAAUUGGAGUUGGUGAAUAAUCUCAUUCAAUUCAUCACGUAUUUAUGGCGCAUCCAGCUGUGUGACCUUGGGUGCGGUGUUUCACCUCUCUGAUGAAAUAAGACCUUAAUGUUUGCCAAGGACCCUGGAUUUCUGAGAUUCUGAGUCCCUGAAGCUGGAAGGAAUCUCUACCGAAUUCCGAUCACUUGCUGCUGCCUCUCUCCUUGCUUCUGAGUUAUUUGUGCAAUUACCUGCAUUCCCUCCUAAACUCUACAUUCCUUCAGGCCAGGGUCUUAUAUAACUAUCCCCCACAGUUUAGUGCCUUGCACACAGUGGGUGAUUUAUCAGUUUUUCUGAAUGGAUGACUGAAUGCUAGGCACUGUGAUUAAUAACAAAGAAAUAGAAUUAGAAGCCCUGUGCUUAGGCAGUAUACAAUUUUAGGGGAACGGGGAGGGCGGAGAUGACCUUUGCACUUUAUAUUAUAGCUUUGGGAACUUGUGUGAGUUCCUCAGCCUCUUUGUGCCUCUAUCUCCUCAUUAAUAACAUGCAAAUAAUAACGGCUACUAACUAAGGAUUUUGUGAGGAUUAAAUGUGAUCGUAUGUACAGUUAAAUCCUUCGUGUAGUGUUUGGCACUUAGUAGAUCCUUAAUUAAUGUGUGUUCCUGCUCUAUUCCCAACUAG
rnacentral:lncRNA from 1 species